ACUGCUAUUUGGCAUUUGAGGAAAGAUGGAUACAGAGGCUCAUUCAUCAUGCGGGGAGCCAAUGCUGCUGCCACCAUGAUGUGCAAGGCAGGGCUAAUCACACCAGAGCCCUCCGACCCCAUGCAGUACUAUGGCGAAUCGUCUGACACCUACUACCACAUGGACCGCUGGCAAAGGCUGCGCACAGCUGUCAGGAAGCUGGAGUUCUGGGAAAACUUCAACGCUGAACUGAUAGGUAGUGGCUUCUUCUCCAAGGUCUACAAGGUGACCCAGGCUGCUGCUUGUAAAGUGAUGGUGGUGAAGAUCUACAAGAACGACGUGGACGAAGAGGUGAUUGUACGUGAGAUCAGCCUGCUGCAGAAGCUGUCCCACCCCAACAUUGUCAGGUACCUUGGGAUAUGUGUGAAGGAUGACAAGCUGUACCCCAUUCUGGAGUAUGUGAAUGGGGGCUGCCUGGAGGAGCUCCUGGCCAGCAAAGACAUCACUUUGACAUGGAAGGAGAAAGUGGACUUAGCUUCUGACAUUACCAGAGGCAUGAUCUACCUGCACUGCAAGAACAUCUACCAUCGAGAUCUCAACUCCAAGAACUGCCUCAUUCGAGUGACGCCACGGGGCCGUGAGGCACUGGUGACUGACUUUGGGCUGGCCAGAGAGGUGGUGGAGCUGCCUGUGAAGGAUGUGGAGAGGAAGCUUUCUCUGGUGGGCUCUGCUUUCUGGAUGGCUCCUGAGAUGCUGCGGGGAGAGCCCUAUGACCGGAAGGUAGAUGUGUUUUCCUUUGGCAUUGUCCUUUGUGAAAUCCUGGGCAGGAUACCAGCUGAUCCUGAAGUGCUUCCCAGGACUCAGGAUUACGGCUUGGAUGUUGCUGCCUUCCAAGGGAUGAUCAGUGAAUGCCCCAGGCGGGUGAUGGACCUUGCUGCUAGCUGCUGUCGGGUGGAAGCGUUUAAGAGGCCAUCUUUCUCCGAAAUCCUGGAUGAGUUGGAGGAUGUUGCAGAGAGCCUGGAGCCUAGGAGGGAAAAUCAGCUUUUGGGCUGAGCUGUGGGCCUCCUGCGAGGCCUGGUGGAGUAUUGCACAAACUGUAAAUCAACUGUCUUGGAGGGUCAGGAGUGAAGAAGGAAGGUGGGAAAGGGAACAGCCAAGUGACACACUGGUAUCCUCCUUGGUCAUAGAGAAAAAGAGUAUCCUGAGCUCUGCUAGGACUGCUGACACACAUGGAGAACUUAUCUAUGCCUGUGGAGCAAAUGGACCAGAUUCUGCUUGCAGUUACACAACUCUUACACCACUUGGGUUCUCUGUAGACUUACUGUCUGAUCUGGACUGUCAGAAAGAGUUGCAGUGUACAAAGCCACAUAAACAUGGAACACUGUUAUCUCAAGUGUUGGUUUCACUCAUUCUCACAUGAAGGGUAUUGACUUUUGCAGAGGAUUUGUUUGCUUUUUAAAGAAAGAAAGAAACAAACAAAAAACACAUCAGGAGUUAGGAGGAUGUUGUGCUGAUGCUGAAAGUAUUGAAUAUCACCCCCAGCCCUAGAAAUACCAAAACUUCAUGGUAAAUAUUUACGUCCAAUAAAACUGAAAGCAGAACUUGGCCUGGCUGCUGUGAAGGUGUGGGAAUGCUAUGUGUCCCACUGCUCAGAGCCAGACUCUGCAUUUGCUGUAAAACUUCGUGGCAGGGCUUUUAGUUACUGCUCUGGGUCACGCUUCUGUGGGUGAUGGGGGUCCCCUUCCUUCCCUGCACCCAGAGGUCACUCUGUACCUGGGGUGCCUUAGGCAGCUUUAAAAAAUUGACCCCAAAUGUAGAUGGUGCAUGACAACACUGUACUGUAAAUACUGAAUGCUUCUGAAUUGCUCUGGGAAAUGGUCUUUCCUAGUAAGCUGCUAACUUACCAGCAUUUCCACCAAGGAAGUCUCCUAGAACUAGUUUGUAUUUCUCAGACUCUCCUAAAAUUCUGAAAGAAGCGUACUUGGCAAAGUAGUAGUUGUUCUCAAAGUCUCUCAGGUCAAUACGGAGUUCACAAUUUCCUAGAAGAGAAGGUAGAGAGCAGUUCUGUGGGGCUGGUGGUAAGUAGGCAAAUGGAAUUCAGGGGUGAGGGGUUUAAGGAGCCCUGAGAUAACUCAAGAGGAGCUACCACUACUUGAGAGAUUAUAUUUCAAAUUGCUGCAGAACCAUCUGUCCUGCACAUAAUUGUGAGUCCAAGGCUGUUUGUGAACAUGAUUGUCAUCACAAACAGGACUAGUAAGUAGAUGUGUGGGCCUUUCUCCAGGAUAAGUCAUGCAGACAGCUCAUUCACUUCUGUUACUUGUAGUUUUACCUUUUUUAGAGGUAAUUUUCCUGCGUGCAAUGGACUGCAAGAGCCUGCAUGCUGUUUAAAAUUAACUACUGGGGCCCAAGAGAGAUGCAAGAAGUUCAGUCUUUAAUGGCCUAGCAUUGUGCAGUGAGUGCACUCUAACAGCCCCAGCCUGGGGAAGGAGGCAGACCUUACCCAGAGAGGUGAGGAAGUGGAUGUUGUCAUUCCCCAGCCAGAACUCUGUUAGCUGGUUGCCAAAUCCUCGCUUGUAUGAAUACCAAUCUCGCAAAAAAUUCACUGAUCCAUCUGAGCGUCUCUGGAAAACCUGCAGGAAAUAAGAGUCUCACCCCUGUCAGGCCAUUCUUCACUAAAAGAAGCUCCAUUGCCUGACUGCAGAGAACGGGUGGCACAGCCCUUUGCAGCAAACUCUCCCAUUGCGUUGGGCCAUGCCAGAGGGUAGCUGGGAGGACUGAACUGACAGGGAAAUCUCUCUCACAAAUUUGCUUCAUCUAUGCUUGGAAAUGAGGAGGGAUUUUUCUGACUUAAGCAGGAAUGGAAGACAGUUUGUGGUGCUCAGUCUGUUCCCAGAGAUCUCUCCCAAGAGAAUCCCCUGUAUUCACAUGGAUUUACCCAGGUUUAACAUGAACUUCAGCUGUCACCUCUCUGACCUGGCUUCAUUAUGUGUUUUUCCUGUCUUUGACACUUUUCUUCCUUUUUGUUGCUAUUUUAGUGCUAUCAUUUAGAGCCUUAAUAGAAAUUACUGUAGGGUUAUAAAAGCUUCCCUCCCUUCAUCCUACUCACAAUCCAUCCUCCACCGUCUGUGUCCAUAUCACAGAAGACAGUGGUGGCAUUGCAGCCUUGGGGGUAGAUAGUGUACCAUCCACUCAGGAUCUUCCCUUUAUCCAGCAGCUCUUGGCAGUUCCUGGCUUGUGAGCAAAUCAGAGAAAGAGUGAAAGUGGAGAGAAUAAUGAUGUGCUCACUCCAUCUGGAGAGCACAUCAGCUUCAUGCUCUGAACUAGCUUCUUUGGGCCUUCAGUCUCCCAGCUGGCUCUUUGCACUGCAGAACUCUGGUGCACUUCUACUUGGAGACAAAUCCUGCUACUCCCCGAGUCAAUAUGUCACAGGGUUGAUGGGCUCUUUCUAAGAGAUAGUCUAAUGGGCUCAGACCCCUUUCAUCUGCAAGGGGUCUUUAGAGGGUCUGGGUGAUGGAGCUGCUCCAAGCGGGAUGACAAACUCAAGAUCCAGGAAUUUGUUUGGACUCAGGAAUGUGGGGCACUGAAGGUGUGGGGGUAGCUGGCAGCAUAGGAGCUGUGACACACAAAAAACCCCCACCUACCUGUAACACAGAAAAUACCGUUCAGCUCAUCUCUUGUGAAUUGAACAGGGGGCAGUUUUGAAUAUAUACAUCUAUAUUAUGUAUAUAUUUAUUUUUCCUCACCAAAUCCACAGCAGCUCAGAUUCAUGGGUGCCAAAGGAUUGAUGGAAAUUCUUUACUCUGAGGGAGGUGAGACACUGGCCCAGGCUGCCCAGAGAAGCAGUGGAUGUCCCAUCCCUGGAAGUGCUCAAGGCCAGGCUGGAUGGGGCUUUGAGCAGCCUGGGCUGGUGGGAGGGGUCUCUGCCCAUGACAGGGGUUGGAAUUGGAAGAGCUUUAGGUCCCUGCCAACCCAAGCCAUUAUGUGAUUCUAUGAUCCCAGCUUACAGGUGCAUUUGUGGUAUGAUUUCGCAGGAGAAAGUCUGGGAAGAUUUACACUGAGCAUCCUCAGUGUAUCAGAUAAGAAGACCCCUGCUCUACCCAGAACCCAGUGCUGUGCCAGUGCAUGGUGUGGGGGUGAGAGGACUCACUGCCCUGGUGGGACACACUGUCCACUUCUUGCAGGCGGGACCUGCCUCUGCACUCCAGAGCUGCUCCAUGACAUGGUAGUGGUGAUACAAGUGUCUGAGCAUGAUGAGCAUCUGAUGUGUGGGCACACAGCUGUGCCAGGCUGUCUUGUGAGCCUGGGUGUCCUUCAUAAUGGAGGUCUGCUCCUGGAUGUGGCCUAUUACUUAUUAGUCAAAUGUUUUUACGUGCCCAGGAAAUGUAGAACUGAAUUAGAGUGCUUGAGGCAGUGAGGCGGUGAGUUCAUGGCAUCCUAAUCUUUCUCUUUGAGGUGUUACUGCAGCUCUCCAAUCUGUUUGAGCCUCUGCAUGGGAUUCUGUUCUUAUGGCAUCCAAACGUAGCCAGAGUGGGCUGGAGCUCUGCUUUGAUUCUAGCUCAGGGAGAUUUAGUCAACUGAUGCUCCCUUCCCUUCCCUUCCCUUCCCUUCCCUUCCCUUCCCUUCCCUUCCCUUCCCUUCCCUUCCCUUCCCUUCCCUUCCCUUCCC